CACCCGUAAAGUCAGUUGGGGCAUGACCAUUUGAAUGUGCUAUUGGAUUGACAGUUGCUGCAAGAGUGUAAAAUGAGUACACCCAAACCCCAGGGCCAGCAGUGAACCAUUGUGAACGUAUUGAUGAGGAAUAGCUCAGGCUUCAGUAAACUACUCAGGCCUUAAGAAAAUGGACAUCAAGAAAGCUCCACCCUUGGUUGCGGAGAACAUCUCACUCUUGGCACUUGAGAACCAGAACGCUGAUAACUUCUCCCUCGGCACUGUACUACACUCCUCCCCCAGAGCCGAGCAAAACUUUGCCACCAGCAAUGCUCCACACUCCUUAUGUCACCGCUUCCUGCUCUUCAUCAGCGUCCUUGUCCCACGCUAUAUUGCCUGUGUAGCUGGUGACGUUGCCAGCAGCCUAGAGAAAAACUGUGCCUGCCCUGCUGCUCAUAACUUCAUCACAUACUUCGCCCGUUACUUUGCUGACUUUGCCUCUCGCAACUUUGCUGACCUCGUCACUCGUAACCCCAGCGCAGACCAUUAAAAAUUUUUUGCCCUCUGUGAGUCCCCCAUCCAAGACGUUGCUGAACACCCUCCCCCUGACAGCACUCAGGUAAAAGACAUUAAAGUAUUGCUGUCUUACACACAAGGUCUUAUAAAGAGAGAAAAACUUCUGUGACAUUAUGGUAUUCAAAAUAAGUCAAGCCCUGUUGUAGGUGUGGUAUG